CGCAGACAGAACAUAUUGGCAGAAGGUUUAUAUUCUUCUCUUUCUCUUCUUCCAGUGUAUACAUAUAACAACAGAAUAGACAAAAGCGGCUGAAGGGUUUUAAAAAAUCCCCGGGUUUAUUGUUUUUUUUUUGGCAUUUGAAAUAAAAGCGGGAAAAUGAACGGAAGAGAAAUAAAAAGAGCGGGAAUAUAGGAGACUUAACUAUAAUUUGAAUUUGUUUGAUUUUUCUCAUUGAUGCAAAAAUCUAUAAAGAUUUCAAACUGGCCCCGAGGGUAUCUGAGCUGCUGGAAAAAAGUUGCUGCUGCUGCUGCGCUAUGUAUUUUAUGGCCCACUGCUGAUUUAGGAAGUUUAUUUCUCGCUGGAUUUUCGUUAUUUGUUUAAAUAGUUUAUAGCUGUUGAGAAAACCGCCUACUCUCCCGCGCGCCCAGUCACAACAUGCAGCACCAAAAACUUUUGUCUGUAUACGGCGCCAGCACAUCAGGUGCUGCUGCUGUGUCUCAUUUCCUAUAUCUUUUGCUCUGAUGCGUAUAGCUUAAACCUUUCUACAGCGGCGCUAUAUGCAAGCGCCAGGUACGCGCUAUGUAGAAGCGCAUUUCGUGCCCAAGGCAUUUUUCGUGUGAGCGUGUCCUUUUUACAAAGUUUUAUUAUAACUCACGCUCCCUCAUCCUAUAUCUUUCUAUGCGCAUUUUGGACUAUUAUAAUAUGC